CUUUAGCUUAAAAGUAGAGCACUAGUCUGAAGCACUGGGGGUACUAUUAUAUAGUAGG
rnacentral:tRNA from 1 species